rnacentral:rRNA from 1 species
UACGGGGGGGGCAAGCGUUGUUCGGAAUUACUGGGCGUAAAGGGCUCGUAGGUGGCCAACUAAGUCAGACGUGAAAUCCCUCGGCUUAACCGGGGAACUGCGUCUGAUACUGGAUGGCUUGAGUUCGGGAGAGGGAUGCGGAAUUCCAGGUGUAGCGGUGAAAUGCGUAGAUAUCUGGAGGAACACCGGUGGCGAAGGCGGCAUCCUGGACCAACACUGACGCUGAGGAGCGAAAGCCAGGGGAGCAAACGGG